rnacentral:rRNA from 1 species
GAAAAGAACCCCGGCGAGGGGAGUGAAAAAGAACCUGAAACCGUGUACGUACAAGCAGUGGGAGCACCCUUCGGGGUGUGACUGCGUACCUUUUGUAUAAUGGGUCAGCGACUUAUAUUCUGUAGCAAGGUUAACCGUAUAGGGGAGCCGUAGGGAAACCGAGUCUUAACCGGGCGUUAAGUUGCAGGGUAUAGACCCGAAA